UUUCCUGACGGGUGUGGGGAACCGCAAUGCGGUCCGCAUCCGUCAAUUGAUUGCUGUCUGCACCCCUUGCCUCCGUGUCUGCGUAUGCUUGCGUCCUUUGCCGCCCCUGCGGAGGAUUCGUUUGCGUUGGCUGCUUGUGGCUUCCUGGUGUCGCACGGCAUGCACCGCACGCGCCCAUGCCGACCGCAGUGCGACCGGGAUGAGCCAUGCAGCGAUCGCGCUGUCGUUACUUCCUCGGCCGCCCGGCGCCCUUGCUCAUUUAUUUAACCGCAUCCAUCACGUCCCCGUACUUAGUGUUCUUCGUUUAGUCACCCCGCGCAGCGCACAGCCAUAACAGCCACAGCCUGCAGCCCGGCUUGCGCACCAUGUCCUCGCGGUUGCUUUGGGGUUGACGUUGCUUGCCUCGCGCCUAGCGCCAUAGCUUCUACGCUGCAGUGCAUCACGCCUCCUGUCCCUUCCUCCCUCCCUCCCUUACAUGUCGUGCUGGGCACCGGUGGCGCUGGUGUUCUCCAGGUUGGUUUCGGGCGCAUCCUUUCUGGUAGUCCCAACGCCAGCCCGGCCGGCGUCGUCCAGCCCAGCCAUCCCAAUACAGCAGCCACCUUCCGUCAGCCAGCCAUGGGCGCGACCGUCCACAGCGUUUACCGUCGGUUACGAGGUAACAUGUGAAUUCGCAACUUGCGCUACUGACUGCCUGCUCUCGUGCCGCCUGCAAGCCCACUCCGCCUUCCGCUCUGGUCUACGUACGCAUUAGUUCCGCAACACUCGUCAAUAACAGGACAGUACAGGGAUAAUCGCCCCUGGGCCCCGGCAAGUUCACGCUGGUAUCUGUUGCCCAGUGGCAGGGACCUACUUGAGGUCCCGUCUUCAAGUGUUUGGCAAGGGCGAGCCUCCCGCUUGCGGGUGCAGCCACCAUUCACGCGGUAGCGCAUGCGCCCGCAUCGCCACUUCCUCGGCAACUUCUUCUACUGGUUCACUACAUGGCUGCGCGCUAUUUUUAACGUCCACUUAUCCGUUCUCGAUCAGACAGCAAUUGCAGCCUGCAUCCUACUGCCUUAGACGACAACACACACUCGUUUCGUCCGCGCUCGCCGUUCCGCCUUCCAUGUAGUGCUCUGGGUGUCAGUCAGCCUGAUCCUUUUACCUACUUGUGUCUAUCCGGGCAUCAGCAUGGCUAACAGCAAACGGCGCCGCGUGGGGGUCACCGAGGCAUCCGGCAUCGCGGAGCAGGUCAUCGCGCUCCAUCGCCGCCCGCGCACGCUUCGCCCCCGGCGGACAUGCCGCCCUCUGCGACAACCCGCGGGGUCAUCUACGCCGCCCCCGCGGCCGCAUCGGCUACGUUAUUGGUGAUUACUUGGUUUACUCCUGGGUUCUGUCUACUUGGUUUUUGGUUCAUGUGCCGCCGCCCCCGCGGCCGCCUUGGCGACGACGUGCCGCCGCCCCCGCGGCCGCAUCGGCUACAUUCCGCCGCCCCCGCGGCCGCCCUGGCGCUGCGCCGCCGCCCCCGCGGCCGCCCUGGUUCUGCGCCGCCGCCCCCGCGGCAGCCCUGGCUACGUGCCGCCGCCCCCACGGCCGCCCUGGCUACGUGCCGCCGCCCCCGCGGCCGCCUUGGUCACGUGCCGCCGCCCCCAUGGCGGCGCGUCGCCAUCGCGUCAUCCCAAAAGGAGUAUUCGUUGCGGGCGUGCGCGGCGGCGGCCUCCCAACCCAUACACAGCCCUCGGAGAUGACGCCACCGNNNNNNNNNNNNNNNNNNNNNNNNNNNNNNNNNNNNNNNNNNNNNNNNNNNNNNNNNNNNNNNNNNNNNNNNNNNNNNNNNNNNNNNNNNNNNNNNNNNNCACGGCAUGCACCGCACGCGCCCAUGCCGACCGCAGUGCGACCGGGAUGAGCCAUGCAGCGAUCGCGCUGUCGUUACUUCCUCGGCCGCCCGGCGCCCUUGCUCAUUUAUUUAACCGCAUCCAUCACGUCCCCGUACUUAGUGUUCUUCGUUUAGUCACCCCGCGCAGCGCACAGCCAUAACAGCCACAGCCUGCAGCCCGGCUUGCGCACCAUGUCCUCGCGGUUGCUUUGGGGUUGACGUUGCUUGCCUCGCGCCUAGCGCCAUAGCUUCUACGCUGCAGUGCAUCACGCCUCCUGUCCCUUCCUCCCUCCCUCCCUUACAUGUCGUGCUGGGCACCGGUGGCGCUGGUGUUCUCCAGGUUGGUUUCGGGCGCAUCCUUUCUGGUAGUCCCAACGCCAGCCCGGCCGGCGUCGUCCAGCCCAGCCAUCCCAAUACAGCAGCCACCUUCCGUCAGCCAGCCAUGGGCGCGACCGUCCACAGCGUUUACCGUCGGUUACGAGGUAACAUGUGAAUUCGCAACUUGCGCUACUGACUGCCUGCUCUCGUGCCGCCUGCAAGCCCACUCCGCCUUCCGCUCUGGUCUACGUACGCAUUAGUUCCGCAACACUCGUCAAUAACCAAGACAACCGGUUGCAGGCCAUACAGCACUUGAGGGCAUCGGUAGCCCAGCGCUAGCCUACUUGCGUCCCUGUCUGCCCAUCAGCGGUGCCGUGUCUCUGCCUCCCCAUCCGCGGUAGGGUUCCCGUACGGGGCACAGGAGCCCCGCCCGCUCGCCGUGUGUCCGGCCUUGUCCCAAGCACUCCUCAUUCAGAAUCUCGUGCACCGUGGGAACACCACAGCGUGCCUGACACCCGCCUACCGUACCGUAACGCCGAGUCAGUAGCACCUGCCCUUUCUGAAUGACAUGUGCGUCGCGUCUGGCAACUGCGGACUUGAAGGGUUAGGUGCCACCAAGCCACGAAGGCUCCCAGCAGCGCGGCAAUACAACACAGCCCGUCGCCUGGCUAUGGACCAGUGCAGUAAGAACCGUGUGCCAUCCGGGUGUCAAGAUGCAACGAAGGGACCGCUUCACUCUCGUGCUUAGUGCAGCAUUUGCCGCACUCCGCAACCCAACCUCCCACAAACCACACGCUCCACCCAGCGCCCCAACCGCUUUACACAUCUCAUCACGCUCCAUGCCUCUCAUAUCACUCCAUAGCCCUAUCGCGGUGAACCACCCAACCCACUCGACCCCCCUCCCCACCCUUUGAACCGCCCUCAGCACAGCACUCGCCGCGCGGUGCGCACGUACGCGUACAGCAGCCCGCUGUCGAUGGUGGUCAGCAGC
rnacentral:lncRNA from 1 species